UCCCUGGAGGACUAGUGGUUAGGCCACAGCGCUCUCACUACCAUAGCCGGGUUCGAUUCCCGGCCAGGGAA